UACGUAGGGGGCAAGCGUUGUCCGGAAUCAUUGGGCGUAAAGCGCGUGUAGGCGGGUCGGUAAGUCUGCUCUGAAAGUCCAAGGCUCAACCUUGGGAUGCGGGUGGAUACUGCCGACCUCGAGUCCGGAAGAGGCGAGUGGAAUUCCUGGUGUAGCGGUGAAAUGCGCAGAUAUCAGGAGGAACACCAAUGGCGAAGGCAGCUCGCUGGGACGUGACUGACGCUGAGACGCGAAAGCGUGGGGAGCAAACAGG
rnacentral:rRNA from 2 species